rnacentral:rRNA from 1 species
UACAUGCAAGUCGCGCGAUUAAAGCUCCUUCGGGAGUGUAUAAAGCGGCGAACGGGUGAGUAACAGGUGGAUAAUCUGCCUCUCGGUGGGGGACAACGGCUGGAAACGGCCGCUAAUACCGCAUACGUUAGCAGGGACUUAUGUCCCCGCUAGGAAAGGAGCGUUUGCUCCGCCGAGAGAUGAGUCCGCCCCCCAUUAGCUAGUUGGUGAGAUAAUAGCUCACCAAGGCAACGAUGGGUAGCCGAGCUGAGAGGUUGAUCGGCCACACUGGAACUGAGAUACGGUCCAGACACCUACGGGUGGCAGCAGUAGGGAAUAUUGCGCAAUGGGCGAAAGCUUGACGCAGCCAUGCCGCGUGGAUGAUGAAGGCCUUCGGGUCGUAAAGUCCUUUUCUGAGGGAAGAACAUCCUGGAGAGGAAAUGCUCCAGGCUUGACGGUACCUCAGGAAUAAGCAACGGCUAACUCCGUGCCAGCAGCCGCGGUAAUACGGAGGUUGCGAGCGUUGUUCGGAAUUACUGGGCGUAAAGGGGGCGCAGGCGGCUUAGUCAGUCUGAAGUGAAAUCCCCAGGGCUCAACCCUGGACGUGCUUUGGAAACUGCUAAGCUUGAGUGCGUGAGAGGAGAGCGGAAUUCCAGGUGUAGCGGUGAAAUGCGUAGAUAUCUGGAGGAACCACCGGUGGCGAAAGCGGCUCUCUGGCACGACACUGACGCUGAGGCCCGAAAGCGUGGGGAGCGAACGGGAUUAGAUACCCCGGUAGUCCACGCCGUAAACGUUGUGCACUAGGUGUGGGAGGUAAUCGACCCCUUCCGUGCCGUAGCUAACGCAUUAAGUGCGCCGCCUGGGGAGUACGGUCGCAAGACUGAAACUCAAAGGAAUUGACG